GCGUUGGGAGCUCUCCCAUAUGGUCGACCUGCAGGCGGCCGCGAAUUCACUAGUGAUUGUUUGAUCCUGGCUCAGAACGAACGCUGGCGGCGUGCUUAACACAUGCAAGUCGAACGCGAAAGGGACUUCGGUCCUGAGUAAAGUGGCGCACGGGUGAGUAACGCGUGGAUAAUCUACCCGACGGACCGGGAUAACAUUUCGAAAGGGGUGCUAAUACCGGAUAAGACCACGGCUUCUUAGGGGGCUGCGGUAAAAGGUGGGGACCUUCGGGCCUACCGUCAUCGGAUGAGUCCGCGUACCAUUAGCUAGUUGGUAGGGUAAGGGCCUACCAAGGCGACGAUGGUUAGCUGGUCUGAGAGGAUGAUCAGCCACACUGGAACUGAGACACGGUCCAGACUCCUACGGGAGGCAGCAGUGGGGAAUUUUGCGCAAUGGGGGAAACCCUGACGCAGCAACGCCGCGUGAGUGAUGAAGGCCUUCGGGUCGUAAAGCUCUGUCAGAGGGGAAGAAAUGCAGGGGUGCUAAUAUCAUCUUUGCUUGACGGUACCCUCAAAGGAAGCACCGGCUAACUCCGUGCCAGCAGCCGCGGUAAUACGGAGGGUGCGAGCGUUGUUCGGAAUUAUUGGGCGUAAAGCGCGUGUAGGCGGUUUGGUAAGUCUGAUGUGAAAGCCCCGGGCUCAACCUGGGAAGUGCAUUGGAAACUGUCAGACUUGAAUACGGGAGAGGGUAGUGGAAUUCCUAGUGUAGGAGUGGAAUCCGUAGAUAUUAGGAGGAACACCGGUGGCGAAGGCGGCUACCUGGACCGAUAUUGACGCUGAGACGCGAAAGCGUGGGGAGCAAACAGGAUUAGAUACCCUGGGUAGUCCACGCCGUAAAACGAUGAGUACUAGGUGUUGCGGGUAUUGACCCCUGCAGUGCCGCAGCUAACGCAUUAAGUACUCCGCCUGGGAGUACGGUCGCAAGACUAAACUCAAGGAAUUUGACGGGGGCCCGCACAAGCGGUGGAGCAUGUGGGUUUAUUCG
rnacentral:rRNA from 1 species